UACGGGGGGGGCAAGCGUUGUUCGGAAUUACUGGGCGUAAAGGGCUCGUAGGUGGCCAACUAAGUCUGACGUGAAAUCCCUCGGCUUAACCGGGGAACUGCGUCUGAUACUGGAUGGCUUGAGUUCGGGAGAGGGAUGCGGAAUUCCAGGUGUAGCGGUGAAAUGCGUAGAUAUCUGGAGGAACACCGGUGGCGAAGGCGGCAUCCUGGACCGACACUGACGCUGAGGAGCGAAAGCCAGGGGAGCAAACGGG
rnacentral:rRNA from 1 species